GCAUCCGAGCCCUUAGUCACUAUAUUGCGAUUAGUGGAUGGGGAUGAGAAGCCUGUAAUGGGCUACAUAUAUGAUGUGAUGGAGAGGGCGAAAAAAAACAUCAUGGACCAUUUUAACUAUAGAGACCGUGAUUACAAGUCAAUUUUAGAUAUUAUAGAUAGAAGAUGGGACAGCCAAAUGUCAUCCUCAUUGUAUUCGGCUGCUUACAUCCUUAACCCAGCCUGUUUAUUCGCUUCUGCUGAUCCAGCAGAAGCACUAUGCAUAUGGUUGGAUUUAUUGAUGUCUUGAAAAAAAUGAUUCCAGAUAGAGGAGAACAGGACAAGAUCUCAACUUUGCUGGACUUCUAUACAAAAAGUGAAAGGAUAUUCUCAAGGGAUAUCGUAAUAAGGCAUCGGACAAUGAAAUUACCCACUGACUGGUGGGCUGCCUAUGGAGUGGACCCGAACAGGAAGGAUCCAGCUCUAAAGAAACUGACUAUAAAGAUUCUUGGACUCACAUGUUCUGCCAAUGGUUGCGAGCGCAAUUGGAGCACGUUCGAGGUAAUUCAUACUAAGAAAAGGAAUCACCUUGAGCAAAAAAAAAGCUCAACGACUUGGUUUUCAUUCAAUACAAUCAAAACUUGCGAGAACGAUUCCAAACUAGGAAAGAAAAACCUAGUUUCUUUGACCCUAAUUGCUUAGAUGAGUUGGAUGCAGAUAACGAGUGGCUCACAGAGACGGAGGACCCGGUAUUUGCUGGAGAGGAGCUGACAUGAGCACAAGUUGAAGAUGUCGCAUACGGAUCGACACCUAGUGAAGGUAGUAC